AUUGAACGCUGGCGGCAGGCCUAACACAUGCAAGUCGAGCGGAGCGGCGGACGGGUGUGUAAUGCCUAGGAAUCUGCCUGGUAGUGGGGGAUAACGACCGGAAACGGGCGCUAAUAACGCACACUAUCAGAUGUGCCUAGGUCGGAUUAGCUAGUUGGUGGGGUAAAGGCCUACCAAGGCGCCGAUCCGUAACUGGUCUGAGAGGAUGAUCAGUCACACGGGAACUGGGACACGGUCCAGACUCCUACGUGAGGCAGGAGGGGGGAAUAUUGGGCAAUGGGCGAAAGGCUGAUUCAGCCAUGCCGCGUGUGUGAAGAAGGUCUUCGGAGUGUAAAGCACUUUAAGUUGGGAGGCGUUACCAACAGAAUAAGCACCGGCUAACUUCGUGCCAGCAGCCGCGGUAAUUC
rnacentral:rRNA from 1 species